UACGUAGGGUGCGAGCGUUGUCCGGAAUUAUUGGGCGUAAAGGGCUCGUAAGCGGUUUGUCGCGUCGGGAGUGAAAUCAUCUGGCUUAACUGUGGGCGUGCGGUCGAUACGGGCAUCACUGGAGUUCGGCAGGGGAGACUGGAAUUCCUGGUGUAGCGGUGAAAUGCGCAGAUAUCAGGAGGAACACCGGUGGCGAAGGCGGGAUCCUGGGCCAGUACUGACGCUGAGGAGCGAAAGCGUGGGGAGCAAACAGG
rnacentral:rRNA from 1 species